AAUGAACGUUGGCGGCAUGGAUUAGGCAUGCAAGUCGAGCGAGAAGAGUUUUGAAGCUUGCUUUAGAACUCGGACAGCGGCGAAAGGGAGAGUAACGCGUAGUUAUGUGCCCUAGGGUCCGGAAUAGCCACGGGAAACUGUGGGUAAUGCCGGAUAAUAUCCCCGGAUCAAAGGUGUGAUUCCGCCCUAGGAGCAGACUGCGUCCUACUAGCUAGUUGGUGGGGUAAUGGCCUACCAAGGCAAUGAUGGGUAGCGGGUGUGAGAGCAUGACCCGUCUCACUGGGACUGAGACACUGCCCAGACACCUACGGGUGGCUGCAGUCGAGAAUCUUCGGCAAUGGGCGAAAGCCUGACCGAGCGAUGCCGCGUGCGGGAUGAAGGCCCUCGGGUUGUAAACCGCUGUCGUAGGGGAGGAAGGUUCCGUGAAGAGCGGAAUUUGACCUAUCCUAGGAGGAAGUACGGGCUAAGUUCGUGCCAGCCGCCGCCGUAACAC
rnacentral:rRNA from 1 species